rnacentral:rRNA from 1 species
CCUAUCUGCCGUGGGCGCUGGAGAACUGAGGGGGGCUGCUCCUAGUACGAGAGGACCGGAGUGGACGCAUCACUGGUGUUCGGGUUGUCAUGCCAAUGGCACUGCCCGGUAGCUAAAUGCGGAAGAGAUAAGUGCUGAAAGCAUCUAAGCACGAAACUUGCCCCGAGAUGAGUUCUCCCUGACUCCUUGAGAGUCCUGAAGGAACGUUGAAGACGACGACGUUGAUAGGCCGGGUGUGUAAGCGCAGCGAUGCGUUGAGCUAACCGGUACUAAUGAACCGUGAGGCUUAACCUUACAACGCCGAAG